rnacentral:rRNA from 1 species
AAUCUGUAGGAGGGUUUAAUUAUGGCCCUAAAUUUAUAGGCAAAAUGCCUCUCAUGAUGCUAAAAGGGGCUUGAACAAGAUUAAAAGUAAGUUCAACAUCAGCGGGGAAAAUUGGUUGAUAAAGGAGACUUUAACCCAGCUUUUUGACAAAUUCGGGGGUAAUUGAUGAAUGCCAGCAACCGCGGUUAGAUUCAGUUCGAAUAUAAAUUUAGUUGGAUUGGUUAGAGUCAAUGUAAAAGCUAUAAAACUACAAAAAUUUUAUAGGUGCAGUGUAAUGUUAACGGUUAUUUGUGAUUAUAUUCCCCAAGUUUUAGUGAGUUUCUAACGAACCUAUGAAGUGAAACCAGGAUUAGAUACCCUGUUAUCCAUAGUUUAAAAUAAAAAUUCCUCUUAACUAAACAUUUGGUUGUCAAAGAGAAAUAAAUAGGCGGUGUCUGAGAUAAAAACAGGGGAUCCUGGGUGUUAAAGGACAAUCCACCUACAUUUGAGCCCUGUCUUAUUAAUGCGUGUGUAUGGUUGUUUACUCUAAUAUGGUAAGUGUCCGGGUAAAAUUUUUGGUUGUUUCUAAGGUUAACUUCAUCUUUGCUGGUUAGUUAGUUUGAUGUAGCUAUUGUAGUCAGUCAUACGUCUGUAGUGCAGCCGCAAAAAUAAUUCAGAUUAACAUGCAGCUAAUGGCGGGGUCAAUCUGGGAUACAGUUGCAAUGUAAGCAAUAAUUUAAAGCUUGAACUACUAAGAAGUAUUUCAAACAAUUUAACGAAUAAGGAAAGAAAACUUGACUUUGAAGAAGGGCUUGUAAGUAAGGGUCUAAAAAUAAAAUGAUCCUGAAUAUAAUCAGAUGAGUACUAAUCGCCCGUCGCUCGCGAGGAAACNUGUGAAAAGUCGUAACAAGGUAGCNGUAACGGAAGUUGUUGCUAGGNUAUAGAGU